rnacentral:rRNA from 1 species
CAGCAGGCGCGAAAACUUUACAAUGCCGGCAACGGCGAUAAGGGAACCUCGAGUGCCAGGUUACAAAUCUGGCUGUCGUGAUGCCUAAAAAGCAUUGCAUAGCAAGGGCCGGGCAAGACCGGUGCCAGCCGCCGCGGUAACACCGGCGGCUCGAGUGGUAACCGUUAUUAUUGGGUCUAAAGGGUCUGUAGCCGGCCGGGUAAGUCUCUUGGGAAAUCUGGCAGCUUAACUGUCAGGCUUUCAGGAGAUACUGCCUGGCUCGAGGCCGGGAGAGGUGAGAGGUACUUCAGGGGUAGGGGUGAAAUCUUGUAAUCCUUGAAGGACCACCAGUGGCGAAGGCGUCUCACCAGAACGGACCUGACGGCAAGGGACGAGAGCUAGGGGCACGAACCGGAUUAGAUACCCGGGUAGUCCUAGCCGUAAACGAUACUCGCUAGGUGUCGGCCACGGUGCGACCGUGGUCGGUGCCGUAGGGAAGCCGUGAAGCGAGCCACCUGGGAAGUACGGCCGCAAGGCUGAAACUUAAAGGAAUUGGCGGGGGAGCAC